rnacentral:piRNA from 1 species
UCUCAAAUGGCUUUGGCGCCAGAGU